rnacentral:rRNA from 1 species
AGAGCGAACGCUGGCGGCGUGCCUAACACAUGCAAGUCGCACGAGAAAGGGGCUUCGGCUCUGAGUAAAGUGGCGCACGGGUGAGUAACACGUGAAUAAUCUACCUCCGAGUGGGGAAUAACUGAGAGAAAUCUUAGCUAAUACCGCAUAACACUUACGAGUCAAAGCAGCAAUGCGCUUGGAGAGGAGUUCGCGGCCGAUUAGUUAGUUGGCGGGGUAAUGGCCCACCAAGACGAUGAUCGGUA